rnacentral:rRNA from 1 species
GACGAACGCUGGCGGCGUGCUUAACACAUGCAAGUCGAACGGAAAGGCCCUGCUUUUGUGGGGUGCUCGAGUGGCGAACGGGUGAGUAACACGUGAGUAACCUGCCCUUGACUUUGGGAUAACUUCAGGAAACUGGGGCUAAUACCGGAUAGGAGCUCCUGCUGCAUGGUGGGGGUUGGAAAGUUUCGGCGGUUGGGGAUGGACUCGCGGCUUAUCAGCUUGUUGGUGGGGUAGUGGCUUACCAAGGGUUUGACGGGUAGCCGGCCUGAGAGGGUUAACGGGCACAUUGGGACUGCGAGACGGCCCAGACGCCUACGGGAGGCAGCAGUGGGGAAUAUUGCACAAUGGGCGGAAGCCUGAUGCAGCAACGCCGCGUGCGGGAUGACGGCCUUCGGGUGGUAAACCGCUUUCGACUGUGACGAAGCGUGAGUGACGGUAAUGGGUAAAGAAGCACCGGCUAACUACGUG